AUUGAACGCUGGCGGCAGGCCUAACACAUGCAAGUCGAACGGUAGCACAGAGAGCUUGCUCUCGGGUGACGAGUGGCGGACGGGUGAGUAACGUCUGGGAAACUGCCCGAUGGAGGGGGAUAACUACUGGAAACGGUAGCUAAUACCGCAUAACGUCGCAAGACCAAAGUGGGGGACCUUCGGGCCUCACACCAUCGGAUGUGCCCAGAUGGGAUUCGCUAGUAGGUGGGGUAAUGGCUCACCUAGGCGACGAUCCCUAGCUGGUCUGAGAGGAUGACCAGCCACACGGGAACUGAGACACGGUCCAGACUCCUACGGGAGGCAGCAGUGGGGAAUAUUGCACGAUGGGCGCAAGCCUGAUGCAGCCAUGCCGCGUGUAUGAAGAAGGCCUUCGGGUUGUAAAGUACUUUCAGCGGGGAGGAAGGCGGUGAAGUUAAUAGCUUCACCGAUUGACGUUACCCGCAGAAGAAGCACCGGCUAACUCCGUGCCAGCCGCCGCGGUAA
rnacentral:rRNA from 1 species